rnacentral:rRNA from 1 species
UACAGAGGGUGCGAACGUUGCUCGGAAUUACUGGGCGUAAAGCGCAUGUAGGCGGAUCCAUAAGUCGGGCGUGAAAUCCCCAGGCUCAACCUGGGAACUGCGCUCGAAACUACGUGGCUCGAGUAUGGCAGAGGAAGGUGGAAUUCCACGUGUAGCGGUGAAAUGCGUAGAGAUGUGGAGGAACACCGAUGGCGAAGGCAGCCUUCUGGGCCAAUACUGACGCUCAUGCACGAAAGCGUGGGGAGCAAACAGG